UACAGUCAGAAUAUUUAUUUUUAAAAAUAGGUUUUUACUAAACCCAUAAUUAUUUAGAUGCAACUAAAAUAUAUUUUUUGUACUAAUACAUCUACCCGUAUAUCAUUUUUCACUGAAAUAUAAUAUCAAAAACUGAAUGAUUUAUUUGAUUAUAUAAAUGUAGUUCAUGUCAAUAAUUCCAUAUUUCUUACCUACUUUUUGUUGUAUAUUUUAAAUCUCAUAUUCCUUAUUGAAUAUGUGUUGAUAUUAGAAGAGCAAAUAAUAAUAAAAUAUAUGUUGAUAUUACAAGAGAAAAUGAUUUAUAUCGUCUAAAUAUAUUAUGCAUGAUGUAUUUGGCUUAUGUUAAGCUGAAAAUAAUUAUAAGAAAAUUAAAACUCUAAAUAAAAUACGAAAGACACUCAAGAAUAACAAAAUUCCUUAUUAGUUAUAUUGCAAAUUAAUACAUGUAUUAUAAAACAUAAAAAAAAAUUAAGUUCUAAGAUUCUAUGAAAUAAAAAUAAUAACUUACAUGCAUGAAAAACCUCAUAUGCCAAGUUCUUAUUUAAUACCUAUUGGAUUCAUCUAAUAAUAUAUAUAUAUAUACAUAUAUAUAUAUAUAUAUAUUUAAAAAUAUAUAUACUUUAUAAAAUUAAAUUUGUAAUAUUUAUUAACAUAUUUUGACUAAGACUAAGGAAAUAUUCAAUCAUAAUAAUAAUCUAAAUCAAUAACAAAUAACAAACAAUAUCUUGACAAGAUAUUUUCUAUAUAAAAAAGAAUAACAUUUCACACCAAUGGUAAAGAUAUUAUAAGGUAAGGAAUUAAUUUUUAUAUUAUCUUGACUACAAUCCAAGAAAUUAAGCUCAAGAAUAUUUUGAUAAAAUUUUCCUUUUAUGCAAAUUUAUGUUAUUAUAUAUACAACAACAUAAAUCAAAAUAAAACACUAAACAAAAAUUAAGAAAAGUUCAUACAAAAUGGGUUUCUCCAAACACAUAUUGAUCGCAUUUGUUUUCACCAUUUUCUUCGUAGUAUCUAAUGUUCAUUGCUACCCAGACUUUGAAGUAAAACAAGACUACAAAAAAUGCUACCUUCCGUGUAAACAAAUAUCCGAAGGAUGUGAAAGGUUUUGUGCAGCUAAGAACAUUCAGUUGGUUGGCGAAUGUAUUUCUGAUUUAUGUUGUUGUAGGUCAAAAAGGCCAAAUUAACAUUAUUAAAGAUUAUACAUAUUGUACUAGUGUCAAGAGUGCUAAUAAAGAUCCAAAACAAUUAGCAAA